GACCGAAACGUCACCCCUGUGAUAUCUAGAGGAAACAGCUUGAUGGAGGAACGCACUCCAGCCACGCUGCAUAACAACAUUCAAACUAAGCUGACCUUGUUAUCUCAUACGUGCAGUGUAUCUCUAGCUGUCAGGCUGUUUUUGAAGCGAGUGGAUCUUACAUCACAGGGAAGUUUUUCAGUGGUUUGUAAAUGAAAAGGAAUGUCACUUUGAAGACGAAGUGAAGUUAAAAUCCUGUUGUGUUUUUCUCGCCUUUUGACACCUUUUGACAUUUUGUCAGAUUGCAUCAAUAAUUGAGGGUAUAUAAAUUAUUGAAGAGGAAAUUAUAUGUUCAGGAUCAUUUAAGGGUUAACAGAAAACGAAAUGAGGCUGAUUCCUGCUUGAACUAUCUUGGACAACCUUAGAACUGAAACUCUGACUUAUGAAACCUCUAUUUUUCUGGAUUUUGUUUUGAUGCUGGCUGUUUAGAUGUCAGACCGUUCGUUCACCGAGCUCAGCCUGUCAGUCUCAGGGUUUCCAAUGCAGGCUGCGUACUCACUGUCCUGCAGAUCUAAAUGUGUGGACGGGCUGACUGUGGUGGGCCAAGGGAAACAUAUGGCUCUGUGUGUGGUAGGCGCAGAUAUGUCAAGACUAAGUAUAGACCAAGGUAUUUGUCCAAGAGAGAGGCUGUGGGUGGAAAUCAGUAAUCAGAACAGUGGUGGUGAUACAAUGUCAGGGCAGCCAGUUCAGCCGUGUACUUAUUGGCAUCGGGGUUGUAAAACAUACCAGUGCAAAGCUGUUUCACACAUUUGCACGCUGGAAAAUGUAUUGUUGUUCCGUGUGCUUAGUCGAUGUGGAUGUGGGAUGAUCAGAUGAAGUAAUACGGUCUAAAUCACAGUGGAAUAUGCAAAAUCAAAAAUACAAAAUACAAACAGAUUUAUUUACAUAACCACCAGAAAAAGGAGCAAAAUUACUAUUAACAUGUUGCUGGCCCCCCGAUGAGUGUAGGUCUUAUAUUCAAUUUGGUCUGUUGAUUGAACCAAAUCAAUAAAAUAAACACAAUAUAAAGUGAAACUGAAAAUAAAAAUGGUGCAUUGAAGAUUUAAAGCUGCGACAGGUUCACACUGCUCACACAGUGGGAUUGCAGAUGCAAGUAUAUCACCCAAACAUCUCUACUUAAUGUUAUAAAAAAGCAUGUCAAUUUGAUCUACAGUUCCACCAUUAGCCUCGCAAGCUUUUUAUUUUAAUUAAUGUGUCUAAAUGCAGGAACAUGAAUUAAAUGAUUUUGACAGGGCCAAGACUUCAUAUACUGUAUAGAGUAACACAGUGGAAUCACUCUGAAGCCCCCUAAUACAAAUGACUUCAUCAUUCAACAGCUGUAAUGUCAUGCUACAUGUAUUACUUUUAAUAAUAAAAUAAAAAAAUAACCUUAACGUCCCCGAUCCCACUAAGAGAAUAAGCCGGUGAAGUGACGCUCCUAAUUUAGCUCUGAACUUCUACUCAUUUUAAGGUCACGUGUGACUCACGCAGUUAUUCCAGGUCAAGGCCUGCCUUCUGUCCUAGUCUGGAUCUACGCAUGUUGCUGCCUGCCAUGUUUAGCUUUGUAACUUCAUCGUUUCACAUUUCAUAGUUACCGUGUGACAUCAUGAGGCCACGCAACUCGACGUGUCAGAAAGGAAGUUUCCAACUUCAGGAUCUGUGGAGAUGACACAGUCUGACCAGGCUACAUUUUUCAUCUGCCCCUGGCUCAUGGUGACGACACUGUCCGCAUUCAGCCUCAGUCUUCAGAUAUGCAGUUUCUGCACAGUGGCUAACGGGACCCCUCCCUGUCUGUCUGUAUGUCUGGAACGAAAGGCCUCUCCCCAUCUGUCGGCAAGCAUACCUGCCCACAACUGACUGACAGUGGAAAAUAUUAUGCCCUCAUCCUCCUCUUCACAACAACAUGGAAUAUUCCCCAGCUGGAACAGCGGAAGGUGGAUUCCUCAGCAGAGUGAGGAGGAAGUGAUGACGCAGUUGAAGACAAGUGUCAGACAGUGAAAUGGAAACAAGCAGUCUGAGAAUCCCCCCGGUGUGAAAACAUGACGAACGUAUCACACCACUACUUGUGGUUAGUCAUGUACGUGAUGUGCUUUUGACAGCAAGCUGUGUUUGCUGAGCGGCUUUCACCCGACCACCGCCGCUGCCCCACCCGUCAACCCCUCUACACCUUUGACCUCCACAGCCCCAUCUGCCUACUCAAAUUCUCGUGCACACCAUCCUCACACCUCUCGCUCUGUUAGCUUUGUCCACCUCUGACGUCAAACGCCUUUCAAUGCAGCUGAUUAACAGGUAUAAUUUACUGUGGGCUCAGGGCCAGGAUCUGUAAAAAGUGCGUCUGCAAUCCUGCUUGUCUGGUGUUUUCCGGUAAGUCUGACACAAUACGAUAUAUAAUUAAAGUGUUUGAAUCUCAACUUUAGAUAUAACUCAUACAAAGAGGGUAAACAUCUAUAAAAUAUAUCAACGAAUUACAUUUUAAAGGAAUUAAUCAUCAAGCACUGCUAGAAAUUCAAACACUGUGAACAGUCUUCAUCAUAUUGUGACCACAGAGAUACUUGAAUUGAUACGUGCAAACCUGACAACAUUUUUUUCUCAAUCUGCUUCUUGUUACCAUUGAUGGGAUCCCGUAUUAACACAACAUGUUCUGCCAGUUCUUCACAACAGUUUUGGCUAUUUCAUGUGAGAGAUUUAAAAAAAAAAAAAUGAUUCGUGUCAGCUGUCAGAU